CUAGGUAUUCUCUGCCUAACACUACCUGCACAUGCUAAUUAGUAAUGAUUAGUGUGAAGCUGCAGGGACAAUGUAGCCUGUCUUAUAUGACAAUGUAAAAAAAAAAACAAUUUUUUUUUUUCCAGGAG
rnacentral:ncRNA from 16 species